rnacentral:lncRNA from 1 species
CAAAGUCAAGCGAAGCAGUUUUUUGAAUGAUUGUUAAUGAUUUCUUCUCUUCUUUAAAUGUUUUUGUUCUGGUCAAGGUCGAAAAGAAAAAAAAAAACUUAGAAACCAAAACAGUACGGAAAAAAGACUCAACUGGCAACUGACAAGAGCUUGACUUGUAACACCAUGAAAUCAUCAUCAUCAACAACAAUGAGGUUCUUUCCUUUCCCUUUCCAUGAAUCAUUUGCUUGAAGAAAAUCAGAUAAAAAGCCUAUAUGUUAUCAUCAACCUUGCACAUAAUCUGU